UGUUAUAAUUGUUGAAGCCCAUUUUUUUACUGUUGCAGUGGACCGCCCUCGGUACAGUGUGUAAAUCAAAAAGUCAAGUACCCGCCUCCCUCCGUUAGUUAAACCAUUUUUUUUUCUCUGUUUUUAACAGAAACCACUCAUGGGUCAGCUUUUCUGGAUUUUCUGAGUCCUAUAAUGGUACCUUCAAAUUGACAAGACACACAGGUCUCUCUGCGAAGAAUGUGUCUUCUGUAUUCUUCAAUGGCGAGUUGGAGAACAAAAUGCGAGAAGGUGGCCAUCUGGACAUGUGCAACAUGGUGAAAGUUGACAGUGACAAAGAUAAAGUUCUCGCUGAAGUUGAAAAGCUGAGGAGAAAGGAGCCUUAUGAGCAUCGCAACUGUCAUGCAAAUUGCAAGGCCAAAGGAUGAUGUCUGCAAUCAAUGUGACCUUCCAGUACCGCAAGGCAGAAAAAAUAACAAAGUGCCCUGCCUCCAAAUUGGGACAGUUUGCUUCUACACAUCAAACGAGCAAAUUACCAGACAGCUGUAUACCAGACAGCUGUAUGACUCCGUCAGACCAAAGUCUGCAAACUCUGCUAUUGAAGUAGAAAUUACCAUACACCAUGAAAUCUGCUGAAAUGAGCUUUUGAUAAUCCUGGAUGAACCACAGGAUUCCUUUAGGUUUGAGCCUAUGGUAUAAAAUGUGGUACAGUUUUGCACUGUACAUCACAACUACUGGAAGUAUGUAACUCAUCGAAGUAUGUCCAAUCUUUUGAUUAAAAAUAUCUCAAGCAUUUUACAUUGCAGUUAGGAGUUUGUUGAAAAUUAACCAUUUAAUUAUUAAACACACAAUAGCA